UUGAUUACGUCCCUGCCCUUUGUACACACCGACCGUCGCUACUACCGAUUGAAUGAUUUAGUGAGGUCUUCGGACUGAGCGCGGUGGAUCACUCGGCUCGUAGAUGUUUCGGAAAGAUGACCAAACUUGAUCAUUUAGAGGAAGUAAAAGUCGUAACAAGGUUUCCGUAGGUGAACCUGCGGAA
rnacentral:rRNA from 1 species